CGCGUGGGUAAUCUUCCCUCGAAUUGGGGAUAACAUUGCGAAAGCGAUGCUAAUACCGGAUAAUAUCUUAGAUAUCUAGGGUAGUUAAGAUCAAAGGUGGCCUCUACAUGUAAGCUACUGUUUGAGGAUGAGCCCGCGUACCAUUAGCUUGUUGGUAGGGUAACGGCCUACCAAGGCAGCGAUGGUUAGCUGGUCUGAGAGGAUGAUCAGCCACACUGGAACUGACACACGGUCCAGACUCCUACGGGGAGGCAGCAGUGAGGAAUUUUGCGCAAUGGGGGAAACCCUGACGCAGCAACG
rnacentral:rRNA from 1 species